rnacentral:tRNA from 1 species
UCUUCAAUAGCUCAGCGGUAGAGCAAUCGGCUGUUAACCGAUCGGUCGUAGGUUCGAAUCCUACUUGGGGAG